AGAGGAGAGGCCUGCUCUCUCUGACAGACUGGAGAGGAGAGGCCUGCUCUCUCUGACAGACUGGAGAGGAGAGGCCUGCUCUCUCUGACAGACUAGUGUCUGAAUUUGACAAACUGGGGAGCAGAGAAAGGUUAGGAGGAUAAACAUGGCUAUCCUGGGUGUACCCAUUACCAGGUAGAAAGUGAUGAUUGUUCAGCUUGUGAUGUAGAUGUGUGUGGGUGAGCGUGAGAGAGAGAGGCCUGAGGCCAAAGUUGCCCCUCUUAAAAGUGCCGUCAGAGAGACAGGUCACACCAGAUGUCAUCUACUAGAACAGUGACCUGUAACCUCUGAACUAAUCUAUGUGAUGAUUUACUGGUGUUUUAUGUUGCCAAAGAAAACCAAGAAAACCUGCUUCUGAUGAA